rnacentral:rRNA from 1 species
UACGUAGGGUGCAAGCGUUGUCCGGAAUUAUUGGGCGUAAAGAGCUCGUAGGCGGUGUGUCACGCCGAUCGUGAAAACUUGGGGCUUAACUCUGAGCUUGCGGUCGAUACGGGCAUCACUGGAGUUCGGCAGGGGAGACUGGAAUUCCUGGUGUAGCGGUGAAAUGCGCAGAUAUCAGGAGGAACACCGGUGGCGAAGGCGGGUCUCUGGGCCGAUACUGACGCUGAGGAGCGAAAGCGUGGGGAGCGAACAGG